rnacentral:rRNA from 1 species
CCUACGGGGGGCAGCAGUGGGGAAUUGUUCGCAAUGGGCGCAAGCCUGACGACGCAACGCCGCGUGGAGGAUGAAGGUCUUCGGAUUGUAAACUCCUGUUGAUCGGGACGAAAAGCUUCAACCUAAUACGUUGAAGACUGACGGUACCGGUUGAGGAAGCCACGGCUAACUCUGUGCCAGCAGCCGCGGUAAUACAGAGGUGGCAAGCGUUGUUCGGAAUUACUGGGCGUAAAGGGCGCGUAGGCGGCCUUCUAAGUCGGACGUGAAAGCCCCAGGCUUAACCUGGGAACUGCGUCUGAUACUGGGAGGCUUGGAUUCGGGAGAGGGAUGUGGAAUUCCAGGUGUAGCGGUGAAAUGCGUAGAUAUCUGGAGGAACACCGGUGGCGAAGGCGGCAUCCUGGACCGAGAUCGACGCUGAGGCGCGAAAGCUAGGGGAGCAAACGGGAUUAGAUACCCGAGUAGUC